ACGAGAGAGCUUGCUCUCUUGGUGGCGAGUGGCGGACGGGUGAGUAAUAUAUCGGAACGUGCCCAGUAGCGGGGGAUAACUACUCGAAAGAGUGGCUAAUACCGCAUACGCCCUACGGGGGAAAGGGGGGGAUCGCAAGACCUCUCACUAUUGGAGCGGCCGAUAUCGGAUUAGCUAGUUGGUGGGGUAAAGGCUCACCAAGGCAACGAUCCGUAGCUGGUUUGAGAGGACGACCAGCCACACUGGGACUGAGACACGGCCCAGACUCCUACGGGAGGCAGCAGUGGGGAAUUUUGGACAAUGGGGGAAACCCUGAUCCAGCCAUCCCGCGUGUAUGAUGAAGGCCUUCGGGUUGUAAAGUACUUUUGGCAGAGAAGAAAAGGCAUCCCCUAAUACGGGAUGCUUGCUGACGGUAUCUGCAGAAUAAGCACCGGCUAACUACCGUGGCCAGCCAGCCCGCGGGUUAAUACGUUAGGGGUGCCAAGCGGUUUAAUCCGGRAA
rnacentral:rRNA from 1 species